AUGGCUUCCAGAUCGGCUUUCUCAAAACUCCCAUUCGCAAGAGAAACUCGAUCCCCGCCUAGCGUCUCCCCCGCCGUUGACCACUCCGGCCGUGGCGGCCACCCUCCGCGCCAUGGUCUGCUCCGGACGCGGCGGCCACCCUCCGCGCCAUGGUCCACUCCGGACGCGGCGACCACUCCUUCCGUCGUAGACCGCUCUGGGCGCGGCGGCCUCUUCUUCAAGGAAGUUGUUCUGUCCUUUGCCGGUGCGAUCAUGGCGCUCUCCGAUCUGAAUUUUGCCACUGGAAGGGCCUUUGAAUUAUACAUCAAGAAUCAGUGUGGUACUCCAAUUAAUCCAUCUGCUACGUCUCUAUCGGACAGGUUCUUCCUUGUGGUAAAGUUUUCUCGAUCUAGGCUCACUCUGAAUAGAGACUCUGUGGGCCUCAUCCUUCAAGCUUUUUUUGGUGGUUCUGCUUCUGACUUCAAAGUCUCACAUAUUGAAGGCUAG
rnacentral:rRNA from 1 species